GUGCUAGUUGGAAGAUGAUCUACAAUUCUCUUUGCAAUAAAUUCUCAAUUUUUAAUUUCAUUGCCGAUUGUUGUGCCUAUAAAUUUUGAUGGAAUUUUGUUUGUCAUUCAAAUUUUAUCCGAUUAGCUAGAUGCUCAACAACUGGAAUGUUGCUGCUUCGUAGAUUUCACUUCGAUGUGUGCCCUGUACUCGAGGCAAAGAUAGAUUAACACUCUCACGGAGUAGUUCAGUGCCAAAAAAUCCAAUUUAAUGAAAAGAUUCAUCACUUAACGAAAAAUUUCAUACUCAUUUUAAAGAAUAAAAAUAACAAUUUUUUCCUUACUUUAUUAAAAUUUUAAUUAAGUAAUGAAAAAUUUCAUCAACUUAUGAAAUUCAACAUUAACUAACGAAAAUCUUCAUCGAUCUAUGAAAAUAAAUUAUUGGGUUAUGAAAUUCUUCAUAGACUUAUGAAAUUUUACAUCGGCUUAUGAAAAAAUACAUAAGGCAGACUAACGAAAAAAUGCAUACAGAGCACACUUUAUUUUCGUUUUUUGUGUGCAUUCAUAUUCAACCCCGCAAGUGCGCAGUGAAGUGAAAAAGUUCAAAAUAAAGUAGUAAAGGUAAGAUUGAUAAAUUAUUUACAAUAAUUAUAACUAUAAACUAGCUCGCUAUAAUUUUGAUUAUGAUUCAUCUUUUCAAAGGGAACAAAAGGUGUGUCAACGUUUACAAAAUUAUGGAAAAGGUACAUUUUCACCCGUAGAUACUACAACACUAUCCCCAACGGAGAUAACAUCGAAUGUAUGCUGAAAAAAUGGAGAGAAUCGGAAUUUAUAUAGAAAAAGGCCAGUUAUUGAACUUCAAAAACAGACAUUCUUCAAGAUCUGUUCAAAGUCCCACCACGAGCAAUAUAUCGUCACCAUUACCAAAAUAUCCAAAUUUAAGUCUUGGAAGAGUGGAUGACCAAUUAGUUUCUGGAAAAUUCCAAAGAUGUCAUCCUAAUGUACCAUAUGGAUGGGUACUUAAUCCCGACCCAAAGAACAAAAAAGGAAUUCUGUGAAGAAGAAGAUACAUAUAAUGUAUUAUUGAAAUUUUUCUGUGU